CAGUCGCCACGGUAACACGUAGGGUGCAAGCGUUAAUCGGAAUUACUGGGCGUAAAGCGUGCGCAGGCGGUUUGUUAAGACAGAUGUGAAAUCCCCGGGCUCAACCUGGGAACUGCAUUUGUGACUGGCAAGCUAGAGUAUGGCAGAGGGGGGUGGAAUUCCGCGUGUAGCAGUGAAAUGCGUAGAUAUGCGGAGGAACACCGAUGGCGAAGGCAGCCCCCUGGGCCAAUACUGACGCUCAUGCACGAAAGCGUGGGGAGCAAACAGGAUUAGAUACCCCGGUAGUCCCUGUCUCUUAUAC
rnacentral:rRNA from 1 species